ACCUUAUAAGCAACAACCUAUUCGAAAAUAUCAAUACACUAAUUCAUUAUGCCAUCUGAUGAAUGAUCCCAUACCAAAAAGCAAUAACAUUAAUAAGUUAAUGAAAAGUAUAAGUUUUGGAAUAAAUUGAAUUAAUGAUAAAACACUGCUGCAUGCCACCAUCACUGAUGAUUCAAUAUCGUUCGGCGACUAUCAUCGAGCUAUAUCACCAACGGGAUACAAUAAAAAAUUAAACAGGAAAAAAAUGCGAGCAGCAUUAGUUGCAGCGGCUUCAGUGAGUAUAGCCGGUUGCAUCAUUGGCGACUGAAAUCUACGUUUAUGAAUCCCGGUCUGAAUAGCAGUUAACGCACUUAACAAUACCACUAAUAAUUUUAAUUUUAAUUCGAACACAAAUUGAACUAAAAUCAAAUUGAAAUUAAAUUAAAGCUGAAUUGAAUUUAAUUAAAACUGAAGUAGAAUUAUCUUAAAAAUAUAUUAAAAAUGAAUCAAAAUUUAAAUUUACUGUUUACAAAUAAAAUUU